rnacentral:rRNA from 1 species
AUUGAACGCUGGCGGUAGGCCUAACACAUGCAAGUCGAACGCGAAAGUCCUUCGGGAUGAGUAGAGUGGCGGACGGGUGAGUAACGCGUAGGAAUCUGUCCUGUAGUGGGGGAUAACGUUUCGAAAGGAACGCUAAUACCGCAUACGCCCUACGGGGGAAAGCGGGGGAUCUUCGGACCUCGUGCUAUAGGAGGAGCCUGCGUCGGAUUAGCUAGUUGGUGAGGUAAAGGCUCACCAAGGCGACGAUCCGUAGCUGGUCUGAGAGGAUGAUCAGCCACACCGGAACUGAGACACGGUCCGGACUCCUACGGGAGGCAGCAGUGGGGAAUAUUCCGCAAUGGACGAAAGUCUGACGGAGCAAUGCCGCGUGAGUGAUGAAGGUUUUCGAAUCGUAAAGCUCUGUUGUAAGGGAAGAAUAGCGAGGGUAGGAAAUGCCCCAUCGUGUGACGGUACCUUACCAGAAAGCCACGGCUAACUACGUGCCAGCAGCCGCAGUAAGAC